rnacentral:rRNA from 1 species
CCUACGGGAGGCAGCAGUGGGGGAUAUUGCACAAUGGGGGAAACCCUGAUGCAGCGACGCCGCGUGUGGGAAGACGGUCCUCUGGAUUGUAAACCACUGUCCCAAGGGACGAAAAUGACGGUACCUGGGGAGGAAGCUCCGGCUAACUACGUGCCAGCAGCCGCGGUAAUACGUAGGGAGCGAGCGUUGUCCGGAAAUACUGGGUGAAAAGGGAGCGUAGGCGGGGAUGCAAGUUGGGUGUCAAACCUACCGGCUCAACUGGUAGUCGCACUCAAAACUGCAGCUCUUGAGGAAAGUAGAGGCAGGCGGAAGUCCUAGUGUAGCGGUGAAAUGCGUAGAUAUUAGGAGGAACACCAGUGGCGAAGGCGGCCUGCUGGGCUUUUACUGACGCUGAGGCUCGAAAGUGUGGGGAGCAAACAGGAUUAGAUACCCGGGUAGUC